GUGAAAUUGUUGAAAGGGAAACGCUUGAAGUCAGUCACGUUGACUUGGAAUCAGCUCUGCUUUUGCUGGGUGUACUUUCUUGUCAAUGGGUCAGCAUCAAUUUUGACCAUUGGAUAAAGUCAUUGGGAAUGUAGCAUCUUUAGAUGUGUUAUAGCCUGGUGAUGCAUACGGUGGUUGGGAUUGAGGAAUUCAGCACGCCACCAGGCCGGGUUUCGACCACAUUCGUGCUUAGGAUGCUGGCAUGAUGGCUUUAAUUGACCCGUCUUGAAACACGGACCAAGGAGUCUAACAUAUCUGCGAGUGUUUGGGUGGAAAACCCAUGUGCGUAAUGAAAGUGAAAGUUGAGAUCCCUUCUCAAGGGAGCAUCGACGCCCGGACCAGACCUUUUGUGACGGAUCCGCGGUAGAGCAUGUAUGUUGGGACCCGAAAGAUGGUGAACUAUGCCUGAAUAGGGUGAAGCCAGAGGAAACUCUGGUGGAGGCUCGUAGCGAUUCUGACGUGCAAAUCGAUCGUCAAAUUUGGGUAUAGGGGCGAAAGACUAAUCGAACCAUCUAGUAGCCGGUUCCUGCCGAAGUUUCCCUCAGGAUAGCAGAAACUCAUAUCAGAUUUAUGUGGUAAAGCGAAUGAUUAGAGGCCUUGGGGUUGAAACAACCUUAACCUAUUCUCAAACUUUAAAUAUGUAAGAACGAGCCGUCUCUUGACUGGACUGCUCGAUGAUUGAGAGUUUCUAGUGGGCCAUUUUUGGUAAGCAGAAC
rnacentral:rRNA from 1 species